UACGUAGGGUGCAAGCGUUGUCCGGAAUUAUUGGGCGUAAAGAGCUCGUAGGCGGUUUGUCGCGUCUGCUGUGAAAACGCGAGGCUCAACCUCGCGCCUGCAGUGGGUACGGGCAGACUAGAGUGCGGUAGGGGGAGAUUGGAAUUCCUGGUGUAGCGGUGGAAUGCGCAGAUAUCAGGAGGAACACCGAUGGCGAAGGCAGAUCUCUGGGCCGUUACUGACGCUGAGGAGCGAAAGCGUGGGGAGCGAACAGG
rnacentral:rRNA from 1 species